rnacentral:rRNA from 1 species
UGAGGAAUAUUGGUCAAUGGAGGCAACUCUGAACCAGCCAUGCCGCGUGCAGGAUGACUGCCCUAUGGGUUGUAAACUGCUUUUAUGUAGGAAGAAACCUCUCUACGUGUAGAGAGCUGACGGUACUACACGAAUAAGGACCGGCUAACUCC